rnacentral:rRNA from 1 species
UACGGGGGGGGCAAGCGUUGUUCGGAAUUACUGGGCGUAAAGGGCUCGUAGGUGGCCAACUAAGUCAGACGUGAAAUCCCCAGGCUCAACUUGGGAACUGCAUCCGAUACUGGAUGGCUUGAAUCCGGGAGAGGGAUGCAGAAUUCCAGGUGUAGCGGUGAAAUGCGUAGAUAUCAGGAAGAACACCAAUGGCGAAGGCAGUUCUCUGGGACGGUACUGACGCUGAGACGCGAAAGCGUGGGGAGCGAACAGG